rnacentral:lncRNA from 1 species
AUACCAAGACGGCAGUUCAAAUGCAAAGCUAACAUGACCGAUCUUUAUGACCUGCUGAACACGACUGAUUGGAUAUGGAUACAUAGGGCAUCCCAGGAAGCGAUCAGUUAUGACGCAAGAUGGAAAUGCCUGAGCUACCAACCGUUCAACUUAACUAACACUAGCGUCAUCUUAUACUACGAUAUGUACAGCUACGAUUCAGCGACACAGGACACGCCAGGACAGCGCCUGUCAUGUGCAUCCGUGUUCCUUCUUCGAAGGCCUCCAGUGGAUGCCUAGAACGAUAAAACACUUCCGACAGCCCAUAAUGGUGCGCAUUUGGCCUGGAAGCAACACUCGCUCUACAAGUCUAG